UGGGGAAUUUUCCACAAUGGACGAAAGUCUGAUGGAGCAACGCCGCGUGCAGGAUGAAGGCUUUCGGGUCGUAAACUGCUUUUAUAGGUGAAGAUUAUGACGGUAACCUAUGAAUAAGGAUCGGCUAAUUACGUG
rnacentral:rRNA from 1 species